AGGCCGGCGUAUUGUCUUCUCUAUGCAUCGCACUUUGAUUUAAAUUCGACAGCACUUGGUAUCUUAAGUCUGCCCUUGUUUGGGGUAGUAGUCGAUAAUCCUUACGGAUGCUCCAUAUAUAGGAUCUCUCCACACCUCCACAUACAAGGCAGACUGCCUACAGGCAUUGUACAUGUAAGGCUAACUCAACAAUCUUUACAAGGGCUAAGUUAGUCCCCGCGGUCAAUUGUAGCCUUGGGUCCAA
rnacentral:lncRNA from 1 species